UACGAAGGGGGCUAGCGUUGUUCGGAAUUACUGGGCGUAAAGCGCACGUAGGCGGAUAUUUAAGUGAGGGGUGAAAUCCCAGGGCUUAACCCUGGAACUGCCUCUCAUACUGGGUAUCUCGAGUUCGAGAGAGGUGAGUGGAAUUGCGAGUGUAGAGGUGAAAUUCGUAGAUAUCGCAGGAACACCAGUGGCGAAGGCGGCUCACUGGCUCGAUACUGACGCUGAGGCACGAAAGUGUGGGGAUCAAACAGG
rnacentral:rRNA from 1 species